GUAGCGGUGGAAUGCGCAGAUAUCAGGAGGAACACCGAUGGCGAAGGCAGGUCUCUGGGCUGUAACUGACGCUGAGGAGCGAAAGCAUGGGGAGCGAACAGGAUUAGAUACCCUGGUAGUCCAUGCCGUAAACGUUGGGCACUAGGUGUGGGGACCAUUCCACGGUUUCCGCGCCGCAGCUAACGCAUUAAGUGCCCCGCCUGGGGAGUACGGCCGCAAGGCUAAAACUCAAAGGAAUUGACGGGGGCCCGCACAAGCGGCGGAGCAUGCGGAUUAAUUCGAUGCAACGCGAAGAACCUUACCAAGGCUUGACAUGUUCUCGAUCGCCGUAGAGAUACGGUUUCCCCUUUGGGGCGGGUUCACAGGUGGUGCAUGGUUGUCGUCAGCUCGUGUCGUGAGAUGUUGGGUUAAGUCCCGCAACGAGCGCAACCCUCGUUCCAUGUUGCCAGCACGUAGUGGUGGGGACUCAUGGGAGACUGCCGGGGUCAACUCGGAGGAAGGUGAGGAGGACGUCAAAUCAUCAUGCCCCUUAUGUCUUGGGCUUCACGCAUGCUACAAUGGCCGGUACAAUGGGUUGCGAUACUGUGAGGUGGAGCUAAUCCCAAAAAGCCGGUCUCAGUUCGGAUUGGGGUCUGCAACUCGACCCCAUGAAGUCGGAGUCGCUAGUAAUCGCAGAUCAGCAACGCUGCGGUGAAUACGUUCCCGGGCCUUGUACACACCGCCCGUCAAGUCACGAAAGUCGGUAACACCCGAAGCC
rnacentral:rRNA from 1 species